GUGAGUCAUCGAAUCUUUGAACGCAACUUGCGGUUUUGGGCUAUCCCGGAACCAUGCCUGGUUGAGUGUCAUUAACACCAUCAAAUCCUUGUGAUUUGGAAAUGGGACGUCAGGUUUCUUUUGAAGUCUGUCUCCUUAAAUACAGAAAGGGCAAUGCCGUCAAUUCGUUGCGGAAUCACAGCCCUGGCUUGGUAAGUUUCCUUUAUGGAGCAAAGCUAAUGCCAGACUGCCGUAUUGCGAGAUGACAUUGUACUUUGUCAUACUGCUAUAAGUUUUCGAACUUUUUAGCCAAUUGUGACC
rnacentral:misc_RNA from 1 species